rnacentral:lncRNA from 1 species
AUGAAUUCCACUCCAAGACACUGGUUGUGUCCCAAAUGACAUCCUAUUUCCAUUUGAGAAAUAUUGAUGGAUGAAGUGUUUGGUGAUACAAAGCACAACCUUCCCUUUCAAAAGCCUGGCUCUGCCCUUCUUAAAACAAAACACCAAUCACAGUCCUGUCCUUCUUAAGUCAACCAUGUAACUGAAUGGAUGGUUUGAGGAUUAUGAUUGUCCCUGGGCUUUUUUGAUCAGGUUUUAACUUUAGAGGACAGAGUCAGGGAGAGGUCAGGGAGAGGUCAGAGAGAGGUCAGAGAGAGGUCAGAGAGAGAUCAGAGGAAGGCAGAGAGAGGUCAGGGAGAGGUCAGAGAGAGGUCAGGGAGAGGUCAGGGAGAGGUCAGAGGAAGGCAGAGGAGGUCAGAGAGAGGUCAGAGGAAGGCAGAGAGAGGUCAGAGGAAGGCAGAGAGAGGUCAGAGGAAGGCAGAGAGGUCACAGGAAGGCAGAGAGAGGUCAGAAAGAGGUCAGAGGAAGGCAGAGAGAGGUCAGAGGAAGGCAGAGAGAGGUCAGAGAGAGGUCAGAGGAAGGCAGAGAGAGGUCAGAGGAGAGGUCAGAGGAGAGACGUGAGGGAGGCAGAGAGAGGUCAGAGAGAGGUCAGAGAGAGGUCAGAGGAAGGCAGAGAGAGGUCAGAGAGAGGUCAGAGAGAGGUCAGAGGAAGGCAGAGAGAGGUCAGAGAGAGGUCAGAGAGAGGUCAGAGGAAGGCAGAGAGAGGUCAGAGAGAGGUCAGAGGAAGGCAGAGAGAGGUCAGAGAGAGGUCAGAGGAAGGCAG